CCCCACUUAGUUUGAUAAAUCCCAAAACAUCUCUUUAUACACCUUACAUGUAUGACAUCUUCUGAUUGAGGAAAUCCCCAAACGUCUCUAUAUAUACCGUACGAAAUCUCUGAUUGAGACACCGCAUUGUUCUGUUCUGGUAAGUUCACGUCGAAAUUGAAAAGACGAUGUUUUCCAUUCUUUUACUGCUUUUUAUGUCAAUAUCACAAGUCAGAACGGGGUCGUUGUUAACCGGUAUGUAUGAUCCGAACUCUACGGCUUUGAUCAAUGAAAGAAGUGACAUAAAGGAAAUCGACGUUCUUCGGCAGAUCAUCAAUCAAGAAACUCUCAUCCGUUUAGCCGUGGUGAAGGAUGUAAAGGCAGUAGAGGACGAUGUUACUUCUGCGAACCGAAGCAUGCCUUCUACAGAAACGAUGGUCUCCACGCUACAGCAGACAUUAGAAUCAUUUAAAAGUCAGAAUGAUUCUUUAAAUCGAUACAGUACUUUAGCACAGAAAGUAGAAACAUUACAAAGGCAGGUUUAUACAAUACGGCAGGACAAAACUUAGGAGCAGAGAAAGACAGAUUGGUACUCUUAGUCAGGAUAACGCUUUACAACGUAAAAUAGAAACAUUACAAAGAAAGGUUGAUUCUCUGACUGAUAGACAGAUAAAAGAAAACAAGAAUUGGCAGAAAAAAAUUCAGGAAAUUGAACAGAAGUUUAAUAGAAACAUCGCCGAAGUUUACGAACUUCUAAAUAACAGAACGUUGGAAACCGUUAAAAGAGGUACAUACACACACACAAACACAUACUCUUUCUCUCUCCCUCUCUCUCUCACACACAGAUAUUAUUGUAAUUAUUAUUAUUAUUAUUUAUUUAUUUUAUUAUUAUUAUUGAUUUUAUAUUCGCGUCUUUUGUUAUGUAGAUUUAAAACUAAAUGUGCAUUGUAAGGACCACUUUCUAGAAGGACACACACAGUCUGGUGUUUAUAAGAUAAAUCCCUAUGGAAACGAGAGUCAGAUCAACGUGUACUGUGACAUGGUGACUGAAGGUGGAGGGUGGACAGCAAUCCAGAAACGCGUGAGUGGAUCAGUGAGUUUUAACAGAACGUGGGCGGAGUACAAGAGUGGGUUCGGGAGCGCUGACGACUCUUACUGAAUUGGAAAUGACGCUGUUCACCAGCUGACCAAAGGAUGGAACUUAUCCCUCUACGUCUCCAUUGCAUUACAAAAUGGUACAACUUUUUAUGAACUAUAUCACCAGUUUUCCAUUAAUGAUGAGGCAGACAACUACAAACUUCUCCUGGGAGGACCAGCUACUGGGACCUUAGGUGACAGAAUAAUAAACACUGGUCAUAAUUGGUACAAUUUGUCUGGAAUGUCAUUUAGUACCCCAGAUAUAGAUACCAAUAGAUUCAGUGGUGAUAACGGUACUGUUAAUAACAGACGAGGAGAAGGCUGGUGUUCUAACUUGUGUUACCGCGCCUCAGUGGAGAUAAUGGUGCUGUUCAGUACGGACGAGGAGGAGGCUGGUGUUCUAACUUGUGUCACCGCGCCUCAGUGGAGAUAACGGUGCUGUUCAGUACGGACGAGGAGGAGGCUGGUGUUCUAACUUGUGUCACCGCGCCUCAGUGGAGAUAACGGUGCUGUUCAGUACGCACGAGGAGGAGGCUGGUGUUCUAACUUGUGUCACAAUGCCUUCUUCCCUGGUCAUCAAAGUACUGGCCUUGGUAUCCUACAAUAGGGACUGGGUCAACUAUUAGGAAGACAUUGAUGUUGAUCAAGCGCCACUAAGAAAACUACUCUAAUUCUUUGAUUGUUCCCGAAACAAAUAAAUCAAUGGCAAUGUGAUAAUAUGUCAUAUGAAUGAUGAAUGGGUUGACACUUCGUAAAAGAGGAAGGUACGGUUUGGGCCUUAUUUUGCCCUAAAAUUUUAAUGUUUCCAAAAAGUUAUGAAAUUGGCUUAAAUAUAAGUUGAGUAUAUGAAUGUGAUAAAUCAUGAAAGAAUAUGGCAUGAAGAAGGGCCAUUCUGGAAAUAUGGCAUCAUUAAUUUGGUAUAUUUUUAGGUUUUAAACAGAAAAAGCUCGAAAUGACUCAUUUCGGGUGUUAUUUUCCUUUACAAAAUAGUGUCCACAGCCCUCGCCUACUUCACUUUUCGUAUAUGUUAUGUAAAAUACUUUGAGAUUCACAUUUCUCAAAAUCUUUGUGGGCAAUACAUGUGCUCUAUAUUAUCUGAGAGAAAAUUCCCGUGAAAAUGGAUGUCUUCUACAUCUUUUUAAAAAGAAUGUGGGAAAAUGCACAAGUUUAGUGCGUCACAAUUAGCAUUUAGGAAGUCAUGUUAGAAAAACGAUUUGUAUGCUCUAAUUGUAUGGAAUUUCAAGGUUUCAGAAAGCACGAGUUUUAAUUUCUUACAUCACUUUCAUAUUUUAGAAAAAUACAGGGCCAGAUUUGUAUUGAAACCGUCCCUUGUUCAUUGUUUACUUUACCUAUCUUCUGAUAAUUUUAUGAGUAUUUUUUAUAUGAACUGAAAUCGCAGGUUUGAGCAAUCAAAGGUUAACCUUUGUUGUUGAUCUAUCCUUUUAUUUUUCUUUUCCCAACCAUUUUUCUUACUGAUGCAGACUAUAAAAGAGAAAAAAUGAAAGGAUAAUUCAAUAGAAUUCUAUUAUAAAGCAAUUGAUAGUUCAUUAGAAUUCUAUUG